UGGGGAAUUUUGGACAAUGGGGGAAACCCUGAUCCAGCCAUCCCGCGUGUGCGAUGAAGGCCUUCGGGUUGUAAAGCACUUUUGGCAGGAAAGAAACGUCAUGGGUUAAUACCCCGUGAAACUGACGGUACCUGCAGAAUAAGCACCGGCUAACUACGUGCCAGCAGCCGCGGUAAUACGUAGGGUGCAAGCGUUAAUCGGAAUUACUGGGCGUAAAGCGUGCGCAGGCGGUUCGGAAAGAAAGAUGUGAAAUCCCAGAGCUUAACUUUGGAACUGCAUUUUUAACUACCGGGCUAGAGUGUGUCAGAGGGAGGUGGAAUUCCGCGUGUAGCAGUGAAAUGCGUAGAUAUGCGGAGGAACACCGAUGGCGAAGGCAGCCUCCUGGGAUAACACUGACGCU
rnacentral:rRNA from 1 species